rnacentral:rRNA from 1 species
AGAGUUUGAUCAUGGCUCAGGACGAACGCUGGCGGCGUGCUUAACACAUGCAAGUCGAACGAGAUUCAGUGAGUAGCAAUACUCACGAAGAUCUAGUGGCGAACGGGUGCGUAACACGUGAGGAACUUGUCCCGGUCUCUGGGAUAACAGUUGGAAACGACUGCUAAUACCGGAUGACGUCGGAACUUCGCAUGGAGUACUGACGAAAGGGUUACUGGAUCGGGAGAGCCUCGCGGCCUAUCAGCUUGUUGGUGGGGUAAUGGCCUACCAAGGCAUCGACGGGUAGCUGGUCUGAGAGGAUGAUCAGCCACACUGGGACUGAGACACGGCCCAGACUCCUACGGGAGGCAGCAGUGGGGAAUCUUGCACAAUGGGCGAAAGCCUGAUGCAGCAACGCCGCGUGCGGGAAGAAGGCCCUCGGGUUGUAAACCGCUUUCAGAAGGAACGAAACUGACGGUACUUUCAGAAGAAGGUGCGGCCAACUACGUGCCAGCAGCCGCGGUGACACGUAGGCACCAAGCGUUGUCCGGAUUUAUUGGGCGUAAAGAGCUCGUAGGCGGCUCAGUAAGUCGGGUGUGAAAACUUUGGGCUUAACCCAAAGCGUGCAUCCGAUACUGCUGUGACUUGAGUACGGUAGGGGAGCGGGGAAUUCCUAGUGUAGCGGUGAAAUGCGCAGAUAUUAGGAGGAACACCGGUGGCGAAGGCGCCGCUCUGGGCCGAAACUGACGCUGAGGAGCGAAAGCAUGGGUAGCAAACAGGAUUAGAUACCCCAGUAGUCC